rnacentral:misc_RNA from 1 species
GAUGAAGAACGCAGCGAAAUGCGAUAAGUAAUGUGAAUUGCAGAAUUUAGUGAAUCAUCGAAUCUUUGAACGCACAUUGCGCCCCCUGGUAUUCCGGGGGGCAUGCCUGUUCGAGCGUCAUUUCACCACUCAAGCCUCGCUUGGUAUUGGGCAACGCGGUCCGCCGCGUGCCUCAAAUCGACCGGCUGGGUCUUCUGUCCCCUAAGCGUUGUGGGAACUAUUCGCUAAAGGGUGUUCGGGAGGCUACGCCGUAAAACAACCCCAUUUCUAAGGUUGACCUCGGAUCAGGUAGGGAUACCCGCUGAACUUAAGCAUAUCAAUAAGCGGAGGA